GCCUGGGUGGCUCAGUCGGUUAAGUGUCUGACUUUGGCUCAGGUCAUGAUCUCAUGGUUCGUGGGUUCGAGCCCCACGUCGGGCU